UGAGCUCCUGGCUGGAGAAUUCGCUCACAAGGGUGAUGUGAUCAUCUUACAUGUAAAAAAAAACCGAAUUUCACUUCUGGUGGUGACUAUUGUCUGAUUCAUCAUUACAGUAACCACCCAAGGAAACCCUGCCCACAAAAAGCAUUCUUCUGGAGAAGUAACAGUUUUUGGUGACACACAUGAUGGCAACAAUGACCACUGUGUGGCACGAUGACCUCUAUGAAAAAGAGAGAUAUACAGGUUUUGCUUUUGUUCACUCAACUAAUUACCAACCUUUCAUUAUACCUCUACUCGGACAUCUAAACUUCAGUUAAGCUCUAUGUUUAAGUGGGAUGGAUCUUCAAUUUGCCUAAGGAUUUGAAGUUGGGUUUACAGAGGCAUCAUUUGACAAUUAUCAACUUUGAUAAAUGCAGAUUGUCAUGGAACUACCACCAGAAUCCAGAUAGAGAACAUUCUAUCAUCCCUGUUAUAUCCC
rnacentral:lncRNA from 1 species